AGACAAUUGUCGUUAUUUUAUUUCCAUACCGUUGUUUCUGGGUACAUUUUUAAGUAUAUUUCCAAAUGGCAUACUUACAGCACGAUUAAACAAGGACGAGCGGCAGCUCUUCCUCGUCAACUCUCCCCAACCACGAGUCGACAUUGACAACAAACACACGAGAGUCUACCGUUACAACCAUGGUUACAACCUCUUUUAAAGUCUAUGGUUUCAACCCACAGUGGAGAUAAACUUUCUUCCGGGAAACACAAACGGUGGUGACUGUCAGUUUAGUUCACUUAAAAAAUAUGCUAUGAAAGUGAAUGGCGAUGAGGCUGACACACUACUACUGCCUAAAAGAAAUUCAUAACAGUGCGAUGCAGCAGAUCACGACUGCAACUAUAAUCAACAGAGAUCCGGAAGCAGCAGCAGCAGAGAUCAACACUAUCAGAGACACUGGAGGAGGAGAAAGUGUGUCUGUGUAAUUAUAAAGAAAGAAGUGAAUGCACCAGAAGACAGAGAUCAGACUGAAGCUGGAUCAUCAGACUGGAUCUCUGACCAUCACAAACACCAGAAUCACAGACUGUGGACUCUAUAAACUACAGAUCAUCAGAAUUAU